GCGCAGCAUCGCUUGGAGUAGCAGGAUCUCUCAGGAUCUCUCAGGAUCUCUCAGGAUCUCUCAGGAUCUCUCAGGAUCUCACAGGAUCUCUCAGGAUCUCUCAGAAUCUCACAGGAUCUCUUACUUUGGCGAUCCCUACAUGGAGCGACCACUUGUUUUCUGUUGACAGCUACAGACAUCAAUAAAAGAUUUGAGGAAUAAACCGGAAUACAUCCAGGGAAAAGGAGAGGAAUUCAUCCUUCUCUGUGUUGAACGUGCAGCAGCGUGUGUCUUCAGACCUCAGUGAGGUACAGAGCUGAGCCAAGGGGACUGAACUGCUGCGUCCGGGGGGG
ensembl:lncRNA